UACAGAGGUCCCAAGCGUUGUUCGGAUUCACUGGGCGUAAAGGGUGCGUAGGUGGUGGGGUAAGUCGGAUGUGAAAGCUCGGAGCUCAACUCCGAAAUGGCAUUGGAAACUACCCUGCUAGAGGAUUGGAGGGGGGACUGGAAUACUUGGUGUAGCAGUGAAAUGCGUAGAUAUCAAGUGGAACACCAGUGGCGAAGGCGGGUCUCUGGACAGUUCCUGACGCUGAGGCACGAAGGCCAGGGGAGCAAACGGG
rnacentral:rRNA from 1 species